rnacentral:SRP_RNA from 1 species
GUCGGACGCGGUGGCGCACGCCUGUAGUCCCAGCUACUCGGGAGGCUGAGGUGGGAGGAUCGCUUGAGUCCAGGAGUUCUGGGCUGCAGUGCGCUAUGCCGAUCGGGUGUCCGCACUAAGUUCGGCAUCAAUAUGGUGACCUCCCGGGAAUGGGGGACCACCAGGUUGCCUAAGGAGGGGUGAACCGGCCCAGGUCGGAAAUGGAGCAGGUCAAAACUCCCGUGCUGAUCAGUAGUGGGAUCGCGCCUGUGAAUAGCCACUGCACUCCAGCCUGGGCAAUAUAGUGAGACCCUGUCUCU